GAUGAAGAACGUAGCGAAAUGCGAUAAGUAAUGUGAAUUGCAGAAUUCAGUGAAUCAUCGAAUCUUUGAACGCACAUUGCGCCCCUUGGUAUUCCGAGGGGCAUGCCUGUUCGAGCGUCAUUAUAACCCUCAAGCUCAGCUUGGUGUUGGGGCCUGCUGCACUGGCAGCCCUUAAAAUCAGUGGCGGCGCCAUCUGGCUCUAAGCGUAGUAAUUCUUCUCGCUAUGGAGUCCUGGUGGAUGCUUGCCAUCAACCCCCAAUUUUUCUAUGGUUGACCUCGGAUCAGGUAGGGAUACCCGCUGAACUUAAGCAUAUCAAUAACGGAGGA
rnacentral:misc_RNA from 1 species